rnacentral:rRNA from 1 species
CAGAGGUCCCGAGCGUUGUUCGGAUUCACUGGGCGUAAAGGGUGCGUAGGUGGUGAGGUAAGUCGGAUGUGAAAUCUCCGGGCUCAACCCGGAAACUGCAUUGGAAACUACCUUGCUUGAGGUUUUGAGGGGGGACUGGAAUUCUCGGUGUAGCAGUGAAAUGCGUAGAUAUCGAGAGGAACACCAGUGGCGAAGGCGAGUCCCUGGAAAACACCUGACACUGAGGCACGAAAGCUAGGGGAGCAAACAGGAUUAGAUACCCUGGUAGUCCUAGCCCUAAACGGUGCUUGCUUGCUGUAAGUGGAAUCGACCCCACUUGUGGCGGAGCUAACGCGUUAAGCAAGCCGCCUGGGAAGUACGGUCGCAAGAUUA